rnacentral:rRNA from 1 species
GGAGGAUCCAAGCGUUAUCCGGAAUCAUUGGGUUUAAAGGGUCCGUAGGCGGUUUAGUAAGUCAGUGGUGAAAGCCCAUCGCUCAACGGUGGAACGGCCAUUGAUACUGCUAGACUUGAAUUAUUAGGAAGUAACUAGAAUAUGUAGUGUAGCGGUGAAAUGCUUAGAGAUUACAUGGAAUACCAAUUGCGAAGGCAGGUUACUACUAAUGGAUUGACGCUGAUGGACGAAAGCGUGGGUAGCGAACAGGAUUAGAUACCCUGGUAGUCCACGCCGUAAACGAUGGAUACUAGCUGUUGGGAGCAAUCUCAGUGGCUAAGCGAAAGUGAUAAGUAUCCCACCUGGGGAGUACGUUCGCAAGAAUG